AUGGCAGCAACAGAAUAUUCAAAUGCAGAGAGACAACCAUGGACAAGGCCUCCACAAGAUUUUUCAGUGCCAAAAGACAUCAAAGAAACACUGCAGGUGCUGCUGCAGAAAGUAGAAAGCCUGAGGGAAAUUCUACUUUUACUGCGGAGGAACCAGGGUCGUCAAAGGGAGGAUGAUAUUUUGGACCUCAAGACAGCUCAGUGCAAGGAGGAAUUGGAGGACCUUGAGAACCACCUUAAGGACCCUAAUUUAGAAAGAAAGUGGUGGGUGCCAACUUAAAUCAGAAAACAAUAAAAAUAAAAUGAUCCAACUUUCUCUUUGCA
ensembl:lncRNA